AUGUGCAAGCCGAAGUAUAUGGGUGGUAUGGGCUUUCGGGAUAUUGAACUGUUUAAUCUUGCAUUACUAGCCAGACAGGUUUGACGAUUGCUUCAGGACCCGCUCUCCUUAAGUGUUAGAGGUCUAAAAGCAAGGUACUUCCCAGAGAAUGAUAUUCUGCAUGCAACUUUGGGGCCUCAUCCGUCUCAAGUUUGGCGAUCUUUGAUAGAGGGCAGGGAUGUCCUUGCUUUGGGACUAAUUGAGAGGAUUGGGACAGGAGCGGACACACCGAUUUGGCAAGACAAUUGGCUGCCACGUGAUUAUAAACUGAGACCAAUUUGCCCGAUUACGGCGAACCCGCCCCAUCUGGUUUCGGAAACUGAUCGAUCCAGUCACACGAACAUGGGAUACACAGGUCAUUAA
rnacentral:rRNA from 1 species